GGUCGGUUAGCUCAGUCAAUUGAGCGUGAUGCUAGCAACGUUAAGGUUGUGGGUUCUAUUCCCGUUCGGUCCC
rnacentral:tRNA from 1 species